GUACACUCCUACGGGAGGCAGCAGUGGGGAAUAUUGCACAAUGGGCGCAAGCCUGAUGCAGCCAUGCCGCGUGUAUGAAGAAGGCCUUCGGGUUGUAAAGUACUUUCAGCGGGGAGGAAGGCAAUACGGUUAAUAACCGUGUUGAUUGACGUUACCCGCAGAAGAAGCACCGGCUAACUCCGUGCCAGCAGCCGCGGUAAUACGGAGGGUGCAAGCGUUAAUCGGAAUUACUGGGCGUAAAGCGCACGCAGGCGGUCUGUCAAGUCGGAUGUGAAAUCCCCGGGCUCAACCUGGGAACUGCAUUCGAAACUGGCAGGCUUGAGUCUUGUAGAGGGGGGUAGAAUUCCAGGUGUAGCGGUGAAAUGCGUAGAGAUCUGGAGGAAUACCGGUGGCGAAGGCGGCCCCCUGGACAAAGACUGACGCUCAGGUGCGAAAGCGUGGGGAGCAAACAGGAUUAGAAACCCGUGUAGUCCCAUGAU
rnacentral:rRNA from 1 species